UUAGAUUGGCCAAAAAGUUCGUUUGGGUUUUUGUAAGCUGUUAUGGGAAAAUCCGAACGAACUUUUUGGCCAACCCA
rnacentral:miRNA from 1 species